rnacentral:rRNA from 1 species
UACGUAGGGUGCAAGCGUUGUCCGGAAUUAUUGGGCGUAAAGAGCUCGUAGGCGGUUCGUCACGUCGGCUGUGAAAACCUGAGGCUCAACCUCAGGCCUGCAGUCGAUACGGGCGGACUUGAGUACUGCAGGGGAGACUGGAAUUCCUGGUGUAGCGGUGAAAUGCGCAGAUAUCAGGAGGAACACCGGUGGCGAAGGCGGGUCUCUGGGCAGUAACUGACGCUGGAGGAGCGAAAGCGUCGGGGAGCGAACAGGAUUAG